rnacentral:rRNA from 1 species
UGCCAGACUCCUACGGGAGGCAGCAGUGGGGGAUAUUGCACAAUGGGGGGAACCCUGAUGCAGCGACGCCGCGUGGGUGAAGGAGCGUUUCGGCGCGUAAAGCCCUAUCGGCAGGGAAGAAGAUGACGGUACCUGACCAAGAAGCCCCGGCUAACUACGUGCCAGCAGCCGCGGGAAUACGUAGGGGGCAAGCGUUAUCCGGAUUUACUGGGUGUAAAGGGGGCGCAGACGGCAAUGCAAGCCUGGUGUGAAAGCCCGCGGCCCAACCGCGGGACUGCAUUGGGAACUGGCGCGCUGGAGUGCCGGAGGGGUAGGCGGAAUUCCUAGUGUAGCGGUGAAAUGCGUAGAUAUUAGGAGGAACACCAGUGGCGAAGGCGGCCUACUGGACGGUGACUGACGCUGAGGCUCGAAAGCGUGGGGAGCAAACAGGAUUAGAUACCCCGGUAA